rnacentral:rRNA from 1 species
GACGAUCGCUGGCGGCGUGCUUAACACAUGCAAGUCGAACGAAGAGCGAUGGAAGCUUGCUUCUUUCCAUCUUCGUGGCGCACGGGUGAGUCACGCGUAAUCAACCUGCCCUUCAGUGGGGGACCACAGUUGGAAACGACUGCUAAUACCGCAUACGAUCUAAUCUCGGCAUCGAGGAUAGAUGAAAGGUGGCCUCUACAUGUAAGCUAUCACUGAAGGAGGGGAUUGCGGCUGAUUAGCUAGUUGGGGGGGUAACGGACCAUCAAGGCGAAGAAUAGUAGCCCGUCUGGGGGGAGGGACCGCCCCCAUUGGACCUGGACAACGCUCAAAAUCCCACUGGGAGGAGCAGUGAGGAAACUUCCGCAAUGGAGGGAAGUCUGACGGAGCAACGGCGCGUGGGUGAUGACAGCCUUCGGGUUGGUAAGCUUUGUUUAUCGGGGCGAAAGGCCUUCGUACGAAUAUUGAGAAGGAUUGACGGUACCGAAAUAGAAAGCCACGGCUAACUACGUG